rnacentral:rRNA from 1 species
UGGGGAAUAUUGCACAAUGGGGGAAACCCUGAUGCAGCGACGCCGCGUGAGCGAUGAAGGCUUUCGAGUCGUAAAGCUCUGUCCUAUGGGAAGAUAAUGACGGUACCAUAGAAGAAAGCUCCGGCUAAUUACGUGCCAGCAGCCGCGGUAAUACGUAAGGGGCGAGCGUUGUCCGGAAUUAUUGGGCGUAAAGAGUGCGUAGGCGGACUAUUAAGUCAGGGGUGAAAUCCCGGGGCUCAACCCCGGAACUGCCUUUGAUACUGGUAGUCUUGAGUUCGAGAGGGGUGGGUGGAAUUCCGGGUGUAGAGGUGAAAUUCGUAAAUAUUCGGAGGAACACCAGUGGCGAAGGCGGCUCACUGGCUCGAUACUGACGCUGAGGUGCGAAAGCGUGGGGAGCAAACAGG